GGGAUUGCUGUGCAGGUCGAAGAAAAAAACGAAGCAGCUGUCGAACUGGAUGCAGGAAGUCGUGUGACCACUAAGGUUAGCUUCAAGUGAUCAACAAUUAUACUGCUGUUUCAUCAUCAUGAUGGAUGUCUGUGCUGCAGGCCAAACAUGUGCUUCUGUGUGUUGGCGUCGACCUUGGACGUUUCAACAUGACCAGCUCAGAUGGACGGUCUCAUGUGUACCUCUAGCUGUAGGCACGUGAGGAGGGCAGUUGCAAUGACUGCAAGCAGGAGGGAAUUUACGCUAAAAAUCGAUAACAAACGUGUUCACAGUGAUUAUAGAGAGGAAACCCCCCGUUUAAUGCCAGCCAUCCCUAAGCAAUGUUUACUACAAACAAUGACUCAUUUUCACAGAGUACAUGGAAUGAGCCACUUCCAAUGGAGAAGAGUGGUUACCUGGAAUCUACCGAAACCUAUUUGUGGAAUAUUAGUACAUGUUUGUCAUCAUUAAAAGCGGACAUACUAUGGUAAAUUGACUUUAUAAUCGCUUGAAAAUAUACUGGAAUAAAAAAAACUAUAAAUGCAACACAA